rnacentral:tRNA from 1 species
GGAGGGGUGGCCGAGUGGUUUAAGGCGCACGCUUGGAAAGCGUGUUUACGAAUUUCGUAACGUGGGUUCGAAUCCCACUCCCUCCGCCA